rnacentral:rRNA from 1 species
GGAAACGGCUGCUAAUACCUCAUACUCCUAUUUGACAUAAGUUAAAUAGGGAAAGUCUUUUCGGUGUAGGAUGAGACUAUAUCGUAUCAGCUAGUUGGUAAGGUAAUGGCUUACCAAGGCUAUGACGCGUAACUGGUCUGAGAGGAUGAUCAGUCACAUUGGAACUGAGACACGGUCCAAACUCCUACGGGAGGCAGCAGUAAGGAAUAUUGCGCAAUGGGGGAAACCCUGACGCAGCAACGCCGCGUGGAGGAU